UGAAUGAGAGGCAGAGGAUCUCUGCCUCAAAAUCAAUAUAUGCCACACUAGAUGAGAAAACAAAUGUUCUGUUUGCGGGAAAACUCACAGGCAAGGUCUUCCUGUAGGUCCUCUCAUCACAGAUGUACUAUGUGAGUGUGUUAAGGCGAUGCCACAAAAGUAGAAUUUUG